GAAUUCCAGGUGUAGCGGUGAAAUGCGUAGAGAUCUGGAGGAAUACCGAUGGCGAAGGCAGCCUUCUGGCCUAAUACUGACACUGAGGUGCGAAAGCAUGGGGAGCAAACAGGAUUAGAUACCCUGGUAGUCCAUGCCGUAAACGAUGUCUACUAGCCGUUGGGUCCUUUGAGGACUUAGUGGCGCAGCUAACGCGAUAAGUAGACCGCCUGGGGAGUACGGUCGCAAGACUAAAACUCAAAUGAAUUGACGGGGGCCCGCACAAGCGGUGGAGCAUGUGGUUUAAUUCGAUGCAACGCGAAGAACCUUACCUGGCCUUGACAUACUAAGAACUUUCUAGAGAUAGAUUGGUGCCUUCGGGAAUUUAGAUACAGGUGCUGCAUGGCUGUCGUCAGCUCGUGUCGUGAGAUGUUGGGUUAAGUCCCGCAACGAGCGCAACCCUUUUCCUUACUUGCCAGCAUUUCGGAUGGGAACUUUAAGGAUACUGCCAGUGACAAACUGGAGGAAGGCGGGGACGACGUCAAGUCAUCAUGGCCCUUACGGCCAGGGCUACAC
rnacentral:rRNA from 1 species